GGCGGUGUCUUGACGGUACGGGCCACACCUGUUCCCAUUCCGAACACAGAAGUUAAGCCGUGCCGGCCGAUGGUACUGCGAUUGCGGGAGAGUAGGUUAAUGCCGCCU
rnacentral:rRNA from 1 species